UUCGUCUUACCUUUCUCCAGCACCCUGGUGUGCCUCGACGCUGAAGCAGACAGGGAGGCUAACACUAACGUCAGCACCACUCGCACGAACUGUGACGCGAAGGAAGCGCAUUCUUUGUCAGUUCUGGACACUUUUGAACAUGGUGAUGUCAAUGGAGUCCUACGCAUUGUCAUUGUGGUUGGUUGUCGUGUGCAAGGUGUGCUACGCUGCUCUGUGUACGAGGCCGCAUGUUGUUUCGUGUGUCCGUACCACGCCGUUGCGGCACGCCAUGCUGAACUUGUCGGCCGCGUGCGACCUGUGAAAGACAAGAGACGAGUGAAAGGUCAACACUCCACGUUACCCCAAGUGUACGAGUCAAGAUUUGUAAUGAAGCUACGAGAGCAGCAUACAUGCAGUUUUCACAGGUGCAUUAUACGGCAAAGCGGACAU